rnacentral:rRNA from 1 species
AUUGAACGCUGGCGGCAUGCUUUACACAUGCAAGUCGAACGGUAACAGGCCGCAAGGUGCUGACGAGUGGCGAACGGGUGAGUAAUGCAUCGGGACGUGCCCAGUCGUGGGGGAUAACGCAGCGAAAGCUGCGCUAAUACCGCAUACGAUCUAUGGAUGAAAGCGGGGGGACCGUAAGGCCUCGCGCGAUUGGAGCGGCCGAUGUCAGAUUAGGUAGUUGGUGGGGUAAAGGCUCACCAAGCCAACGAUCUGUAGCUGGUCUGAGAGGACGACCAGCCACACUGGGACUGAGACACGGCCCAGACUCCUACGGGAGGCAGCAGUGGGGAAUUUUGGACAAUGGGCGCAAGCCUGAUCCAGCAAUGCCGCGUGCAGGAAGAAGGCCUUCGGGUUGUAACUAGCUUUGUACGGAACGAAAAGGACUCUGGUUAAUACCUAGGGCGACAUGACGGUACCGUAAGAAUAAGCACCGGCUAACUACGUGCCAGCAGCCGC